rnacentral:sRNA from 1 species
UCUUAAUCACCUAACCACUACUUAGACACCAUUCCUAGUUUCAUACCCUUUCUAAAAUCAAAA